CCCAGAUUCCAUACUGCUCCACAGUCGGAUUUUAUUUUGUUUCAGAAAUACUUCAGGACCUUCUGUUACUUUUAUUUAUUUAGGGAAGAGUUUUAAGAAGGUCGCCAAAGUAACUUAGACUCUUGAAACAGAACAUUACAACCAAAGAAAGGAAACGUUAAUGGUGUAAGCCAUUCCUCAAAAAGUUAAACAUAGAAUUACUAUAGGACCAAGCCUAAAAGACUUCCACUCCUGGGCAUAUUCUCAAAAGACGUGAAAGCAAGUCUCAAGCAGAUACUUGCACACCUGUGUUCACAGCAGCGUUAUUCGCAGACAUACGUGUGGAGAAACAAAAUGUGGUCUCUACCUACAGUCGAAUAUGGUCCAGCCUUAGAGAGAGAGGAAAUUCUGACACACGCUGCAACACGCCUGAAUGAACCUUGAGGGGCAUUCUGCCGAGUGAGAAAAGCCAGACAGCAGGCACCAAAGGACAAAUGCUACCUGAUUCCACUGAGAUGAACUAUCUAGAAUAGGCAAAGGCAGAGGGACAGAGAGUAGACUGGAGGUACUGGGUUCUGCGUGGCGGCACUGGGGGUUAUUGCUUAAUGGGUGCAGAGUUUCUGUUUGGGGUGUUGACAUUUCUGAAAACAGCGGUGAUGGCUGCACAAUGUUGGGAGUGUCAUCAGUGUCACUGACUAGUACAACUUUGAGUUUACCUCUCUUCCUCCCCACGGCCAGAACAAGCGCAGUGACUGAACUAGAGCCUGGAGUCAUGUGAAGUGGAAGGGCCAGGCCUGAGCAAAGCACACAAGAUCCGGUGUGGGCAGCCUUGCUCCAAGCGGCCGCAGCUGUGGAGAAGCGCUCUCCUAGCUCCCAUCUCCCUGGGAGUGCCACUUGUCCCGCAUGCUUCCUGUGGAGAAUGGAGACUCUUGUCCAUACCUCGCAGCAUCCUUGUGAAGAUGAGAUGCGAUUGCUUCAAUCAGGUGCCUGGCAAAGCAUCUAGGACAUCGGUUGAGGUUAAUGAAUCUGGAAACACUGAGGCCACCUCCUGUUAACUAAGCUGCUCAUCAGCCUGGGGACCUCUCCAAGCAGAGAGCUCCGCACACUUUGUCCUGGCCUGCUCCUCAGGGCUCUGUUUCUUCCAGGCCCCCCACUGCA